rnacentral:rRNA from 1 species
GGGCCCGCACAAGCGGUGGAGUAUGUGGUUUAAUUCGAUGCAACGCGAAGAACCUUACCAGGGCUUGACAUCCUGCGAACCUCUGGGAAACCGGAGGGUGCCUUCGGGAACGCAGUGACAGGUGGUGCAUGGCUGUCGUCAGCUCGUGUCGUGAGAUGUUGGGUUAAGUCCCGCAACGAGCGCAACCCACGUCUUUAGUUGCCAGCAUUUAGUUGGGCACUCUAGAGAGACUGCCGGUGAUAAACCGGAGAAGGUGUGGAUGACGUCAAGUCAUCAUGCCCCUUACAUCUGGGCUACACACGUACUACAAUGCUACGGACAAAGGGCAGCAAGUUCGCGAGGACAAGCAAAUCCCAUAAACGUGGCUC